GCAGAGACGGUGUGAGGUGAGGAAGAGGACACAGUGAUGAAAAUCUGUACCAGAGUUUAGAGCAGAGAAAUUCGGGGUUUCUACAGGGCAGUGUGGAGUCUAGGAAUGAGAGGGAUGGAUCUGGUGGAGAGAUUGUCCUAGAUCGGAGCCCACCUUGUCCUUCUAAGUGCUGACAGAAGGACACUGUGCAGGUUUGACCUGAAGCCACCAGGAAUAAGCACAUCUCACAAGGGGGGGAAGCCUGACGUGGGCAGGGCGCGCAUCCUUCCGGAACCACGGCGGGCGGAGCCGGGGCGGAAGGAUCCGGCGGGCUAGUUCUGAGGUAAGCCCAGCACAUGCGCAGCCCGCCCGGCGGCCGCGUUCCUUCCGGUGGCGCCGCCCGGAAGCGUCGGCUCCGCCCCCUCCCCUCGCCGGCCUG